AGAAGUGGAACAGCACAACACGGAUGAAGCAAUGUAACAGUACUUAUCUGGAAUGUGAUGCAGAACCAUAGCUCUGAUACCACUUGAUACGGCUCUCCAUUGCUUGGUUGAAGACUGGACCUGAGAAGGAAGGGGUUCCAGCAAGUGGCAGCGGAAAUUUGAUGGAAUCAGAGUGGAUGUUGGUUGCGGCAAAGAAGAGAUGAGUUGAUCCUAGCUUCAGGCAGCCUCCAUUGUUGGAAGAAAGCUAAGAGGUGGGAAAGAGUUGAUGGAACAAGUGACUUUGGUAAGCAUUUNCUUGGNAGAGAUGAAUUUCAAAUUGAAGAAAUUUCUCAUAUAUUCCAAAGUGUUUUACAAGUGAGGCUUUCAUGAAUUUAUAGAUGCAUUCAUGAAGCCAAGCAAAGAAAGAAAAUGUGAUCCGUAAGAGCUGGAUCAAGUUACACGUUUUCACCCAUGUGGAAAAGGUGAUGGCCUUCUNGAAAGGCUUAUUUAAGCACGUGAAAAAUAUGCUAGGUGCCUAUGGAAAAGUAAACACUAAUGCCACCCCCUUUUAUGAUAGGCACACCCCUCUUUAUGUAGAAUUGUCCAUUUUACCCUUCACCAUGCUCUUGGGGUUGUUCUUUAUUU
rnacentral:lncRNA from 1 species